GAUGAAGAACGUAGCGAAAUGCGAUAAGUAAUGUGAAUUGCAGAAUUCAGUGAAUCAUCGAAUCUUUGAACGCACAUUGCGCCCAUUAGUAUUCUAGUGGGCAUGCCUGUUCGAGCGUCAUUAAUUCCACUUAAGCCCUGCUUAGUGUUGGGAAUCUACUCUCGUGGUGCUACCCUGGAGCUACCCCUGAAAGGGGGCUGGCCCGGUAGCUACCCUGUAGUUCCUCAAAGAUAGUGCGCGGAGUUGCGUGGUCCUCUGAGCUUAGUAACUAUACACCUAGCUUUUGAGUGUCCCGCGGCGCCUGCCGUUUAAACCCCAUCUUUUAAUGGUUGACCUCGGAUCAGGUAGGAAUACCCGCUGAACUUAAGCAUAUCAAUAAGCGGAGGA
rnacentral:misc_RNA from 1 species